rnacentral:rRNA from 1 species
UACAGAGGGGGCAAGCGUUGUUCGGAAUUACUGGGAGUAAAGGGCGCGUAGGCGGCCGCCUAAGUCAGACGUGAAAUCCCUCGGCUCAACCGGGGAACUGCGUCUGAUACUGGGUGGCUUGAAUCCGGGAGAGGGAUGCGGAAUUCCAGGUGUAGCGGUGAAAUGCGUAGAUAUCUGGAGGAACACCGGUGGCGAAGGCGGCAUCCUGGACCGGCAUUGACGCUGAGGCGCGAAAGCCAGGGGAGCAAACGGG